rnacentral:rRNA from 1 species
CCUACGGGUGGCAGCAGUCGAGAAUCAUUCACAAUGGGGGAAACCCUGAUGGUGCGACGCCGCGUGGGGGAAUGAAGGUCUUCGGAUUGUAAACCCCUGUCAUGUGGGAGCAAAUUAAAAAGAUAGUACCACAAUAGGAAGAGACGGCUAACUCUGUGCCAGCAGCCGCGGUAAUACAGAGGGCGCAAGCGUUGUUCGGAAUCACUGGGCGUAAAUCGUUCGUAGGCUGUUUCGUAAGUCGUGUGUGAAAGGCGCGGGCUCAACCCGCGGACGGCACAUGAUACUGCGAGACUAGAGUAAUGGAGGGGGAAGCGGAAUUCUUGGUGUAGCGGUGAAAUGCGUAGAUAUCGAGAGGAACACUGGUGGCGAAGGCAGGUUCCUGGACAUUAACUGACGCUGAGGCACGAAGGCCAGGGGAGCGAAAGGGAUUAGAUACCCGUGUAGUC